rnacentral:rRNA from 1 species
UGCGUAGGGUGCGAGCGUUAAUCGGAAUUACUGGGCGUAAAGCGUGCGCAGGCGGUUUUGUAAGCCAGAUGUGAAAUCCCCGGGCUUAACCUGGGAAUGGCAUUUGGGACUGCAAGGCUUGAGUGCGGCAGGAGGAGACUGGAAUUCCUGGUGUAGCAGUGAAAUGCGUAGAUAUCAGGAGGAACACCGAUGGCGAAGGCAGGUCUCUGGGCUGACACUGACGCUCAUGCACGAAAGCGUGGGGAGC